rnacentral:rRNA from 1 species
UCCGUAGGUGGAUAAUUAAGUCAGAGGUGAAAUCCUGCAGCUCAACUGUAGAAUGGCCUUUGAUACUGGUUAUCUUGAGUCAUUAUGAAGUGGUUAGAAUGUGUAGUGUAGCGGUGAAAUGCAUAGAUAUUACACAGAAUACCGAUUGCGAAGGCAGAUCACUAAUAAUGUACUGACACUGAGGGACGAAAGCGUGGGGAGCGAACAGGAUUAGAUACCCUGGUAGUCC